AUAGUUAAGUUUUUUGUGUUUUGGUCUGUUUUUCUCAUACUUUAUGCAAUAGGUCUACUAUAUUUGUUGUAUGGAAUGAUUGUAAGGUGUACAUGUCUAGCGGGCAGAUGUCAUCUGACCUUGACCUCAUUUUCAUGGUUCAGUGGUCAAAGUUAAGUUUUUAAGUUUUGGUCUUUUUAUCUAAUAUUAUAUGCCAAAAGUCAACUAUAUUUGGUGUAUAGGAAUAUAUUAUGAUCUAUAUGUCAGUCCCACAGGUUUUAUUUGACCAUGACCUCAAUUGCACGGUUCAUUGCACAGUGUUAAGUUUUUGUGUUUUGGUCUAUUUUUCUUUAAAUAGAAGUAAUAGGUUAACUAUAUUUGUUGUAUGGAAGCUUUGUUAGCUGUACAUGUCUGCCUGGCAUGGUUCAUCUGACCUUGACCUCAUUUUCAUGGUUCAUUGGUCUUUGUUUAGCUAUCUUGGUUAAUGUUAAGUUUAUGUGACAGUUGUAAUAAAGCUUUAUACUUAGGACUAUCAACAUAAUAUCAAUGAUUAGUAAAGAAGGCGAGACAUUUCAGUGUGUGCACUCUUGU
rnacentral:lncRNA from 1 species